ACAUACGACCAUAGGGUGUGGAGAACAGGGCUUCCCGUCCGCUCAGCCGUACUUAAGCCACACGCCGGUGAGUUAGUAGUUGGGUGGGUGACCACCAGCGAAUCCUCGCUGUUGUAUGUUU
rnacentral:rRNA from 1 species